GACGAACGCUGGCGGCGUGCUUAACACAUGCAAGUCGAACGGAAAGGCCCUGCUUUUGUGGGGUGCUCGAGUGGCGAACGGGUGAGUAACACGUGAGUAACCUGCCCUUGACUUUGGGAUAACUUCAGGAAACUGGGGCUAAUACCGGAUAGGAGCUCCUGCUGCAUGGUGGGGGUUGGAAAGUUUCGGCGGUUGGGGAUGGACUCGCGGCUUAUCAGCUUGUUGGUGGGGUAGUGGCUUACCAAGGCUUUGACGGGUAGCCGGCCUGAGAGGGUGACCGGCGACAUUGGGACUGAGAUACGGCCCAGACUCCUACGGGAGGCAGCAGUGGGGAAUAUUGCACAAUGAGCGGAAGCCUGAUGCAGCAACGCCGCGUGCGGGAUGACGGCCUUCGGGUUGUAAACCGCUUUCGCCUGUGACGAAGCGUGAGUGACGGUAAUGGGUAAAGAAGCACCGGCUAACUACGUG
rnacentral:rRNA from 1 species